rnacentral:rRNA from 2 species
CCAUGUGAGUCAUUGUAGCAAUACAAGGCAGACGGCUCAGUAACACGUAGUCAAUCUACCCUAUGGACGGGGAUAACCUCGGGAAACUGAGGAUAAUCCCCGAUAGAUCAUUAUGCCUGGAACGGUUUAUGGUCCAAAUGAUUCGUCGCCGUAGGAUGGGACUGCGGCCUAUCAGUUUGUUGGUGAGGUAAUGGCCCACCAAGGCUAUUACAGGUACGGGCUCUGAGAGGAGAAGCCCGGAGAUGGGUACUGAGACACGGACCCAGGCCCUAUGGGGCGCAGCAGGCGAGAAACCUUUGCAAUGUGCGAAAGCACGACAAGGUUAAUCCGAGUGUUUCCUGCUAAAGGAAUCUUUUGUUAGUCCUAAAACCACUAUUGAAUAAGGGGUGGGCAAGUUCUGGUGUCAGCCGCCGCGGUAAAACCAGCACCUCAAGUGGUCAGGAUGAUUAUUGGGCCUAAAGCAUCCGUAGCCGGUUCUGUAAGUUUCCGGUUAAAUCCAUUAGCUCAACUAAUGGGCUGCCGGAAAUACUGCAGAGCUAGGGAGUGGGAGAGGUAGACGGUACUCGGUAGGAAGGGGUAAAAUCCUUUGAUCUAUUGAUGACCACCUGUGGCGAAGGCGGUCUACCAGAACACGUUCGACGGUGAGGGAUGAAAGCUGGGGGAGCAAACCGGAUUAGAUACCCGGGUAGUCCCAGCUGUAAACUAUGCAAACUCGGUGAUGCC